GAAAGAUAAUGAAGGCUUAACUAAGGGAAAAGAGAGCGAUGGCGAGAGUGGUGGGAAGGCUUAUAGGGUGGUUAGGGAAGGCCUCCUUGAAGAGCUGACUGCUGAGCAGAGCCCAGGGGACCAAUGUGAAGGAGCAACACUUGCGAAGAUGAGGGAAGAGUCCUUCAGAACAGGAAACAACAGGCAUGAAGCCCUGAAGGUCUUUUUUGUAGACCUACGAGUUUCCAGUCUCUGGAAGAAUGAAGAUCUUUUUGAGCACAUAGCUGAAAAGGGAGGCCAGCCGUAGGAUAAUGACUCUACUUCUGGUUUCUGGACAGAGUGGUCAUCCUUUAUCCAGGAGUUAGUGAGAACACUGGGUGUGGCAAAAGAGAAUCUGUCUUGGUGCUGAAAUUGAAAGUGAAAGUGGAGAGACUUUCUGCAGGUUAAGUUCUCCAAACCCUGAGAUGAGGAUUUGGGUAAAUUAUUCUUAAGUGUGUUCCCAGGAAAUACUAAAAGGGAAGAAAGGAAGUGGGACUGCAAAUGCCAAGUAGAAGAGGCCAACCAAGGAUGCCAUCUUGAGUAUGUGGAAUUGAGAAAAGAAGGAGUCAGUCAUGUUAAGGCACUAAAAUGGGGCUGGGGGGACGCGAAGAGGAGAGGAGCAAAUUCCCCCCUCACCAUGAACUCUUGAACUCAUUAGAUGCCUGAAACGCAUCUGCAAGCCUUCUCGAGGAAGAUAAGAUUAUUGGGACCAAGACCUCAUUCCUGUCAGGGUCAUCUUCUACAUUCCUAAUUUUAAUGGCUUGUUUCAACUGACUCUCACUCCAUGACUACUUGUGCCUGGAAUUUGUUAAAAGACAUUCCUUUUUUUUUCCCCCUUUGCCUUUGUUGGCCACAACUAUAAAACCUUUCCUCUUUCUUCAACAGCUGGAACACAAUUCAAGUGCUGCUUGAGUCUGUGUUCCCGGGCUGCAGUCCUAACAAACCUUGAGUAAACUUUUUGUUCAAGUCUAAAAAAUGAGAAAAAAAAAAGAAUGGAGAUGUUUCAUAACUUAAAUGUUCUCCACCCAAUGUGGUGAUCUGCAAACCUCAUUUAGAGGCCUCAUCUUUAUUGUGGGGCAGAGACUAUGUCUGACAUGGAAAGGGAGGACCUGUAUGGCCACUGAAUUGUCCUAGACAGCCCCUGCUCCAUCUGAGCCUCUUGAUUUCUUGAAACAUGUGAUUAUUAGUAAAGCUUCAUACUGAAUAAGAGCUCUAAUUUGUGAGUCUAGUUUAACAAUCUGAUCCUUUGUGAUAGUUCAACAUGGGUGGUAGCCACAUCUUUCUAACUUCCAAUUUUCUCCUAAAUUCUUCAUCGAUAUUUCUAACUACUUGCUGAAUGUAUCUAAAUAUUUUAUCAG
rnacentral:lncRNA from 1 species